AGUUUUGAAGCUCUUAAAAGUGGAUACUAUCAUUUACAAUCUAAAGAUACGCGCACUAGUGUUGGUCCUUCUUCAUUUGUUCGUGGGAAUUUAACAACUAUCCUUGAAGCUUUACAGACAUUAGUUGAAGUACAGCGGGUAAUGACAGCUGAUAAUAGAGCUUCACCUGGUGAUAAUAUAUGUGCAGAACUGCAAGGAGUUGUUGGAAGUUGUGACGUGGCUUCAAACAGUCUAUUUAAAGAUAUUCUUGCACGAAAAGAUGAAGCCGAUGCAAAACGAAAUGUUUUAAAUAUACUACAUAGAUUUCGCUUUUUGUUUAAUCUUCAAAGGAGUAUUGAAAAAAACAUAC
rnacentral:lncRNA from 1 species